rnacentral:tRNA from 1 species
GCUGAGGUGGUUCAGUCGGAUGAAUAUCUGACUUCGGCUCAGGUCACGAUCUUGUAUCCGUGGGUUCAAGCCCCACCUCUGGUU